rnacentral:rRNA from 1 species
UAGGGUGCUUAAAUGAUGACUAUUUCUGAAAUUGGUUUAGUGAUGAGGAACUCGCUGUGAUAAUAUAAGACGGAAAGACCCCAAGAUCUUGGAUUAUAGAUUGAUUUUGUUUGGGGUAAAUGUAUAUUUUUCAUUUAUUUUUAGAUCCUUAUACAGAAGAUAAAGGUUAAAGUUACCUUGGGGAUAACUGAGUAAAGAGUUGUGAGAGGCCAUAUUGAUCGACUUGUUACUACCUCGAUGUUGGCUUAGAGAUACCUUCAUGGAGUAGAAGCUAUGAAAGGUGGUCUGUUCGACCAUUGAAUCUUUUAUGAGCUGAGUUAAAACCGGA